rnacentral:rRNA from 1 species
UACGUAGGGGGCAAGCGUUGUCCGGAUUUAUUGGGCGUAAAGAGCGUGUAGGCGGUGAUGCAGGUCUGUUGUGAAAACUCGAGGCUCAACCUCGAGACGCCGGUGGAAACCGCAUGGCUAGAGUCCGGAAGAGAAGAGUGGAAUUCCACGUGUAGCGGUGAAAUGCGUAGAGAUGUGGAGGAACACCAGUGGCGAAGGCGACUCUUUGGGCUGUAACUGACGCUGAGGCGCGAAAGCGUGGGGAGCAAACAGG